AGUAUUGUGUGUCUUCAGUAGGGUUGGGUAUCGUUUGGAUUUUUCCGAUUCUAAUGCCGAACUGGUACUUUUAAAACGAUUUUGAUUCCUAAACUAAAUCUUG